GGUCUCGUAGGUAGAGCGUUGGCUGUACUAAAGCCUUCACCUUGCUGACGUGGGUUCGAAUCCCACCGAGGCCA
rnacentral:tRNA from 1 species